rnacentral:rRNA from 1 species
GGGAUAACACUUGGAAACAGGUGCUAAUACCGCAUAACCAUAGUUACCGCAUGGUAACUAUGUAAAAGGUGGCUAUGCUACCGCUUUUGGAUGGGCCCGCGACGCAUUAGCUAGUUGGUGGGGUAAAGGCUUACCAAGGCAAUGAUGCGUAGCCGAACUGAGAGGUUGAUCGGCCACAUUGGGACUGAGACACGGCCCAAACUCCUACGGGAGGCAGCAGUAGGGAAUCUUCCACAAUGGGCGAAAGCCUGAUGGAGCAACGCCGCGUGGGUGAAGAAGGUCUUCGGAUCGUAAAACCCUGUUGUUAGAGAAGAAAGUGCGUGAGAGUAACUGUUCACGUUUCGACGGUAUCUAACCAGAGAGCCACGGCUAACUACGUGCCAGCAGCCGCGGUAAUACGUAGGUGGCAAGCGUUAUCCGGAUUUAUUGGGCGUAAAGAGAACGCAGGCGGUCUUUUAAGUCUGAUGUGAAAGCCUUCGGCUUAACCGGAGUAGUGCAUUGGAAACUGGGAGACUUGAGUGCAGAAGAGGAGAGUGGAACUCCAUGUGUAGCGGUGAAAUGCGUAGAUAUAUGGAAGAACACCAGUGGCGAAAGCGGCUCUCUGGUCUGUAACUGACGCUGAGGUUCGAAGGCGUGGGUAGCAAACAGGAUUAGAUACCCUGGUAGUCCACGCCGUAAACGAUGAAUGCUAAGUGUUGG